GGGAAACGCCCGGUUACAUUCCGAACCCGGAAGCUAAGACCACCUGCGCCGAUGGUACUGCAGGGGGGACCCUGUGGGAGAGUAGGACACCGCCGGAC
rnacentral:rRNA from 1 species